rnacentral:lncRNA from 1 species
UGUGAAUUUGCAUUGAGUCUGUCAUAUGCCCCACUCCAUCAUUUUAAUAUUUGAAAUGGCAUUCAUUUUCCCUCUCUGUUCAUCAUUAAGUGGGGUCAGAUUCCAAAAGAUUCCACCUCUCUCAGGCUGGCUCUCUUUCGUCUGACUUCCAUUGUGAAAAUUUCUCAUUCCCCUUUUUCUUAAGAGAGGCUGACAGAAUCUAGGUAUAAAUCAAUUGGAAACCAGACAAAAACUACGUGCCUAAAAAUGACAAAAAAAAAGUUUUGUAACAUUUAAAAAAGAAACCUGAAUAGCCUUUAAUUCUUAUGAAUAUGCUUACAUUUUAUGUAAAUUGGUUUUUGCCACGUGUGUUUGUUCACA